rnacentral:lncRNA from 1 species
CCUGUUUUUUUUUUAGUCUAUCACCACGUUUUUUUGGUCAUCUUUUAUUUUUAUUUUAUAUAACAGUUGGUGUCCUUUUUAAAACAUAUAGUAUACCGUCUCCAUCUGUUAUUACAUGACCCCUCCAAUUUUCAAGGAUAUUGAGAAAAUGGGGAGGUGAGUGUUUCUUAAGAAAAAUGGUUCAUUGUAAAAAAUUAAUUGUUCCAAUAAAUUUGUAAAAACAUAUACGUUACUUUCACAUAAUUAUAUUUAUUUUUGCUUAGACUAUUUUAUGGUGGUCGGGGUUUAAACUCUGAACCUUGUAUAUAUGCAUUGUCUAUAUCAACUGAGUUAAGC